AAGAAGCGUGGACUCUUGUCCUGAGUGCACCGAGGCUUUCAGCCUGCGGGACAGUGGUGCGAUUUGCAUUAGAGAAAGGGAGAUGCCAUGUGCUGGCCCAGCACUCCAACAGGGGCCUGACCUCUAGGAACGGGACACUGGAGGAAGCCUAGACAUCUGAACAAAUCAAGUCAUCCAGAUCCACGGUCAGCUCCUGCCCCGACUUGGCCUUCCUCCUGCUGGGCUGGCCCACGGACCUCGGGAACCUGCCCUGGCUGUGGGUGACCUGCAGCCUAUCUCCCAGGACUAUGGAAGCCCCAUGCAGGAACAUGGUUCUGACACUUUGGGGAUUAUACCCUAAGCUUAAAGGACUGGAAAAGCCCCUGAAGUCCCGAGACCACAACCCUCCACCUUCUAAAGAUAAGACAAGUCACUGAAGGUAAAAUCAGCUCCUCAGUGUCUCCAAGGACAGGAAUGCCAUGGGCUGGGAGGCGCCAUGGGUGAACAGACUUCCCUACUUCCUGCCUCCCCAAGGGUGGGGAGCAGUCUAGGGGAUGGCUGUACUCCUGGGCCCAGUGUCUAAGUGAAAAUUAGGAGGAAAUGGAGGGAGGGUGGCGAGCGAGGACAGACUGGCCAAGGUCCCCCGCAGCCACUCCUGAAGUCCUCACGAGGGAGAAGCAGCCUCUCCUUCCAGCCUUCCCCAAGUCCUCCCUAAGAGUGUAUUCUACUGGUUUCUGUGCAGAUUUUUUUCGGCUGCGACCAAUAGUAGCUUAAACAUGGAUUAUUUUCUUUUUAAUUUCUUCCUGCAAAAUUCUUAGGAAACCAUUAAUAAAAGUAAUAUACAUGUGAAAUAAUAA
rnacentral:lncRNA from 1 species